UACGGGGGGAGCAAGCGUUGUUCGGAUUUACUGGGCGUAAAGGGCGCGUAGGCGGUCGUGACAAGUCAUUUGUGAAAUCUCCGGGCUUAACUCGGAACGGUCAAGUGAUACUGUCGGACUAGAGUACAGAAGGGGCAACUGGAAUUCUCGGUGUAGCGGUGAAAUGCGUAGAUAUCGAGAGGAACACCUGCGGCGAAGGCGGUUCUCUGGGACGGUACUGACGCUGAGACGCGAAAGCGUGGGGAGCGAACAGG
rnacentral:rRNA from 1 species